rnacentral:lncRNA from 1 species
UUCAGCAACUGGUGCCGGUUCCUCCAACUCCACAACUACCGGUUCAAGCGAACCGGGCUCGACAAACUCUACAACGGGAUCAGAUUCUCCAGCGGCUGCCCCAGGAGCCUCUGCCGUCACUGAAAGUGGCUUAGGGUCUCCUUCGGCUACUCCUUCAGCUUCACCAACAGCUUCUCCUUCAGCUUCACCAUCAGCUACUCCUUCAGCUUCACCAUCAGCUUCUCCAUCGGCUACUCCUUCAGCUUCACCAUCAGUUUCUCCAUCGACUGCUCCUUCAGCUUCACCUUCGGCUACUCCUUCAGCUUCUCCAUCGGCUUCCCCUUCGGUUUCGCCUUCUGCUUCUCCGGAAAG